rnacentral:rRNA from 1 species
GUGGAUUAGAUACCCUGGUAGUCCACGCUGUAAACGAUGAGUGCUAAGUGUUAGAGGGUUUCCGCCCUUUAGUGCUGAAGUUAACGCAUUAAGCACUCCGCCUGGGGAGUACGGUCGCAAGACUGAAACUCAAAGGAAUUGACGGGGGCCCGCACAAGUGGUGGAGCAUGUGGUUUAAUUCGAAGCAACGCGAAGAACCUUACCAGGUCUUGACAUCCUCUGACAACCCUAGAGAUAGGGCUUUCCCUUCGGGGACAGAGUGACAGGUGGUGCACGGUCGUCGUCAACU